rnacentral:rRNA from 1 species
UACGUAGGGGGCAAGCGUUGUCCGGAAUCAUUGGGCGUAAAGCGCGUGUAGGCGGCUCGGUAAGUCCGCUCUGAAAGUCCAGGGCUCAACCCUGGGAUGCGGGUGGAUACUGCCGAGCUCGAGUCCGGAAGAGGCGAGUGGAAUUCCUGGUGUAGCGGUGAAAUGCGCAGAUAUCAGGAGGAACACCAAUGGCGAAGGCAGCUCGCUGGGACGUGACUGACGCUGAGACGCGAAAGCAUGGGGAGCGAACAGG